rnacentral:rRNA from 1 species
UACGAAGGGGGCUAGCGUUGCUCGGAAUCACUGGGCGUAAAGGGUGCGUAGGCGGGUCUUUAAGUCAGGGGUGAAAUCCUGGAGCUCAACUCCAGAACUGCCCUUGAUACUGAGGAUCUUGAGUUCGGGAGAGGUGAGUGGAACUGCGAGUGUAGAGGUGAAAUUCGUAGAUAUUAGGAAGAACACCAGUGGCGAAGGCGGCUCACUGGCCCGGUACUGACGCUGAGGCGCGAAAGCGUGGGGAGCAAACAGG